UGAGCAAUCUGCCCUUCUCAUCGGAAUAAGCGUUGGAAACGACGUCUAAUGCCGAAUACGACCUCCUUUCGCAUGAUCGGAGGUGGAAAGCUCCGGCGGAGAAGGAUGAGCUCGCGGCCUAUCAGCUAGUUGGUGUGGGUAAUGGCCCACCAAGGCGACGACGGGUAGCCGGCCUGAGAGGGUGACCGGCCACACUGGGACUGAGAUACGGCCCAGACUCCUACGGGAGCAG
rnacentral:rRNA from 1 species